rnacentral:lncRNA from 1 species
ACCUUGCAUAAGCUUGGCAAACUCUUGAUAAAAAGAUUCAUUAAUAGCACCAAAGAUAAUAUUAUUUAUAAAGAUUUAUACCACUAACAAGUCAUUAUCUUUUUUUUUAAGAAUAACAUUUUAUCAAUAUUAUCUCUAAUAAAUUCAUUAUCUAAAAAAAAUUUAUUCAACCUUUCAUACUAUGCACAUGGAGCUUGUUUCAAUCCAUAUAAGGCCUUAUG